rnacentral:rRNA from 1 species
CAGCCGCCGCGGGAAUACAGAGGGUGCAAGCGUUAAUCGGAAUUACUGGGCGUAAAGCGCGCGUAGGUGGUUUGUUAAGUUGGAUGUGAAAUCCCCGGGCUCAACCUGGGAACUGCAUCCAAAACUGGCAGGCUAGAGUAGGGCAGAGGGUGGUGGAAUUUCCUGUGUAGCGGUGAAAUGCGUAGAUAUAGGAAGGAACACCAGUGGCGAAGGCGACCACCUGGGCUCAUACUGACACUGAGGUGCGAAAGCGUGGGGAGCAAACAGGAUUAGAUACCCCUGUAGUCCCUGUCUCUUAUAC